GCUUCGGGGAGGUUAAGAAGCUGAAAGGAGAGGACACUGUAGGUGUUCAGUCACCACUUCCUUUUGCUCAGCUCCUCCUCAAGGGCAGGGUGACGACGUGCUGUGCUCGUGAGUCAGUGUGUGAGCACUUCCCUGCUGUAGUGACAGUCAGGAGCCGGGGCUUUCACCCCACAGGUGGGCAUACGGUGUAUGCUCAUGUCCGCUGGCCACGAACUGCGUCAUGACUUUCCCGGCAGCCCAACAGCUAUGACGAGACAGAGAAGGAGAAAAAGAGGGAGCACCCCCUCCCCCAUGAGGCAUGGUCACACAGCAGUCUCUUCUCCUCCAUUUCUCUGUCCCGUUGGGACUCUGCACAGGCCAGCAGGGCCCAGACUUGAACCGUGUUUGUCCAGCCUCCGUGGAAAAGACAGAUAUGCCAAAGCAUCCUUGGAGUAAUUAGAUCUCUCCUUCAUCUUCGCCGUGUUGUGCCAGCUCGUGUGGGUUGGCUCUAUUUAUGCCUCUAGUGGGUUUGGUUUGUGACUUCCAAGCACAGUUACAUUGGAAAGAAAGGCAUGACAUGGGGUCACUCAAGGCAUUCGUCUAGCAGCAUACGGCAUUCUUAGAGAAGAUCCUUUGGUGCCAUCAUCUGGCUUGGCAAAUAAGGCAGCCGGUUCCCACAUGGCCAACCACACGGUUUGAGGCCUGGACCUGCAGUCUGGAAAACAAGCUCGUGCGUGUGCCUGCGAGGCCCGGAUCCCCGGUGGAGGGAGUAACGGACAAGAAGUUGUGGCGCCAUGGCCCUGCCACACGGGGGGAGGUGCCCUGCUGUCUCCCACCCCUUCUCGCCCCAGUGAGCGCAUACACCCUCUGGCAAAAUUUAGAAAGAAAAGCAUAGCUCUUUUGUAUUUUGCUUGUUUGUUUCAUUUAUUUCUGCUCUCACCCUUCCUCUCCUUUCCUUGUGCUGUGCUGGUUUUACGUUUGGUGUGUGCUUGCUUUUCUGGCCCCUGAGCUGCAUCGCUAGGUUAUUUGAAACCUUUCCGCUUCUUGGAUGUGUGUGUUCCUUGUGUUACCCUUGAAUUGGCCUUACCAUCCUGCUGGCUCCUUUAUUAGUGAGUUAAAUCCGCCUUUGACAUGCUGUAUAGUUGGAUGAGAGUUACAUUUUUAGCUUUUUAAAAAUUAGACUUUGAGCCCACAAACAUCUUGGAUGGUGUAGACUGUUGCCCGGAAGUAGGAGUUUGACUAAAUGACUUUGAGGUCCUUUCAGCCCAGCAUUUUCAUAGUUCUGGUUGCUUUCUAAAUUCUCCAGUCACAUGGAUAGUAAAUUCCACUUACGGGUUAUCUAAUUGUACUCACGACUGAAAAAAGACUUAAACAUGCCCGCCUUGCCAGGCUUGUCGUGGCACAAGGCGGAGAGGGACCGCCUUUCACGGUCACUCCAGUACUGUUGCCGACUCAGGUGGGCGUACAGCAUACAGAACACCGGCCCACGCGCUACCUGUCCUCCUCGUUUCGGAGGAGGGAGCAGGACAGGACUCAUCGCCUCUCAGAGGUGAAUAGCCAGGGACUCCGGCAGGUCAAGUGACUUGCCAGGACAUUCAGCAGGGAAGGAAUGGGGCUGAGACACGGCCCCGGGGUUCACGCGUGAGCCUCCUUCAGCCGCAUCGUGGAGCCAAGUUUCUAGGGGACGUGGAUAAGGACAGUGAGUUGAAGUGAGGAAGAACAACUAGCUCCCAGAGCAGGUAGGAGCCCUGUGCCGCGGCUGCGCCUCAGCGUGUGGCUUCCAUUGUGUGCUGCCACGCCAGCUCCCUGAGAGCGUGGGUUCUGUUCCCGACUGUGCAGGAGACCUGAGCUGGUCUGAUCUUCCUUGGCCUCAGGGAUGAGGCAGUGCUAGACAUGGGGCAGGUGCCAGCAGGCGUUUCUUGACUGCGUGUGUAUUUUGCUUGACACGCCUUUAUCUUCUGGCUUCUCCCUAUUCCUGGAAAGGCUUUCUUGGCAAAUUUCAGUGUGUCAGGGUGACCCUGGAGCAGCUGCACGCGUUCGUUUCAAAGGAUAAUCUGCCCUAUUAUUCAAUGCUUGCUCCAGAAAGAGCAUGCUGACUUGAUCCAAUCUCAUCUUUCUCUGAGAUCUAAGUCCACAAACCAUCGAUUAAUUAACUCAGCAGAUGGGUGACCCUGCUGCCAGGCUCUGGGGUCACGCGGGGAGGACGAGGCAAGGUGCGGCGAGGCCCUUCCUUGCAUGGGUUUACACGUCCUUUGGGUUAGGGAUGUGCUGGUGCCCUCAGGGUUUCUGUUGAAAUCGCCCAGCCCUUGCUAUGCUUUAUUAGCUCACCAAACGAUCCAACAGAGAAAGACCACCUCUAAGACUUGCCCAAAACCAGCAGCUUCUCUGUCCGCUGCUGCCAGCCGGGCCCACACUCCACCUCCUCAGGCUCGGACUCCGGCAACAGCGUCUGACCGGUCUCCUUGCUUCAUCCUUGUUUCAAAAAUGAUAGCCAGGCUGUGUAACUCCCCUGCCUAAAGCUUCCUGGUGGCCCUGGCUUGUAAAG